UCCUUCACAGCAAUUGGGCCGAAUCAAAUCAUAUUCUCGUGCUUAUGUUCAGAACUAUCGCAGAAAAAAGCGUUGUAGGCGUUGAUACUAUUUUAGACUUUUUGAUACUUCUUCAGCAGAAGAAACAUUUGAGCUGGAAAGAAAAAACCUUUAUUAUCAAAGCAACGGCUAUUGUUAAACAUUUUAUUAUUAAUGAUUCUUAACUGGAUAAGCUACAACCUAUUUUGGAGAAGGGAAAAGCUUACUUUGGAA